UUGAACGCUGGCGGUAGGCUUAACACAUGCAAGUCGUGCGAGAAAGUAUCUUCGGAUAUGAGUAGAGCGGCGGACGGGUGAGUAACGCGUAGGAAUCUGCCUGAUAGUGGGGAUAGCCCGAAGAAAUUCGGAUUAAUACCGCAUAAUCUAUUCGUAGUAAAGUGGGGACUUUCGAGCCUCACGCUAUCAGAUGAGCCUGCGUAAGAUUAGCUUGUUGGUAGGGUAAAAGCCUACCAAGGCGACGAUCUUUAGCUGGUCUGAGAGGAUGAUCAGCCACAUCGGGACUGAGACACGGCCCGAACUCCUACGGAAGGCAGCAGUGGGGAAUCUUGC
rnacentral:rRNA from 1 species